rnacentral:lncRNA from 1 species
GGAGCCCGGGCGCACGGGCCAGGCCGCGGGCUGUCCCAGGGAGCCCCGAGGGCGCGGUGCGCGGGCGCAGGUCGGGCGCAGGCGGGGUGACCCGGGGAAGGGGCGCGCACAGAGACAGAGGGAGCCAGCCGGGCCCCACGGUGUCCUCGGACGCCUCCGAAAUCUCCCUGCGUGUUUGUUUCUUCGGAGCUUCACCGGAGCCUGACUCUGGAACCGGCCUGUCUGCCUGCUGCAGUCUGGAAACGUUGUGUUCUGUUAGUCUUGGAGGCCAAGGCUGAGUGGGUUUAUCUCUGUGCCCCUCCAGUGACUUCAAAGAAUGCCAAAAGUCUCUCGAGUGUGCCUGUGUGCACACACAGACACACACAAAUAUGCAUUCUUAGAAACCAGAUAUACAAAGACAAGAUCUCUGCUUUCAAGAAGCUCUCAAUCUGAUUGAGGAGAGAAACAGGUAGCAAAUAAUGGCAGCAGAGCAUGACGGAGUCUCACUCUGUCACCCAGGCUGGAGUGCAGUGGCGGGAUCUCGGCUCACUGCAAGCUCCGCCUCCCGGGUUCACGCCAUUCUCCUGCCUCAGCCUCCCAAGUAGCUGGGACUACAGGCGCCCACCACUACGCCCGGCUAAUUUUUUUGUAUUUUUAGUAGAGACGGGGUUUCACCGUUUUAGCCGGGAUGGUCUCGAUCUCCUGACCUCGUGAUCCGCCCGCCUCGGCCUCCCAAAGUGCUGGGAUUACAGGCGUGAGCCACCGCGCCCGGCCGUGCUGACUGUUUUUUGAAGAUAAAAUGAUCAAGUCAGAUUUGAAGAAUUGACUGUUGGAGGUCAUUCAACAUUUAUUCAACCAAAAAUACUAAGUCAGCUCUAUACAAACUAAUGGAAGGAUACAGCUAUGCAAAUAUAGAACACUAAAGUGUUACAUGACAGAUGUAUGAGCAGAACUGGGAAGAAAGGACCCUGAAAAGUUAGCUGGUUCCAAGUGACCCUCCAAGGGGAAGAGUGCUGGAUUCAGAGCCCACCUCAGGGGAAGACAGGACCCUCUCCAAGAUGGUUUCCCUAGAAGCUACUACCUCUCCCUGGAGGGUGGAGAUAUUUGCUGGUCAAAGAUAUUAAAGUAAUUGUGAAAUAAAAGAAAAAAUUGUCUGAUAAAACCACAUCUCAUAGAAACCCAAUGAAUGCAACACAUCUAAAAUUUUAUCUGCAAAAAACGAGAG